AGAACAGUGGCCCACACUCCUAGAAUUUGAGAAAAUGGCAUCUUCUUCAGAGGACAGAGGUCAAUCUCCAGGGCCUGGAAUGUGCGCUUCAGUUCGUGGAUGUCACCUUGUCUGCUCUGCACAGUGGCUGGACUGGCUGCCUCCUGGGACAUGGCUGCAGACUGUGGGACCAAGCAAGGCAAAGGCGUCAGCAUUGGGACCUCAUGGAAAUGCAACCUUUGGGAAGACCUUAAUCAGAUCUUCCCUGGGACCUGUAUCCACCUUCACAUUGACAUUGAAGUCACUUGGCACAUGAUGCUUCUCCAUUUCCUAUUUAAUAACAGAGAAAGGAAAUGAACCGGCUUUGACAAUCAGAAGGCUGGAUUGCCAUGUUGAUUGGCAGUGGAGACACUGUGGCUUCUGUGCAUCUUCGGAUGAUGUCUAUUAUUGUAUCAUCAAAUUCCCUGAUGUUUUCCUCUCUGGCCUGCAUUCUGCUGUUAAGCCCAUCUCCAUUGAGGUUUCUAUUUUGGUUCUAUGGUAUGUUUCAGUUCUGAAAUUUCCACUGGAGUCUUUCCAUCUUCUUCAUUGAGUCUUCUCUAUUUUUGCAUUUGUUGUAAGAGUUUAUUGAAGCAUUGCUUACUGAAGCAUUUUUAUGAUGACUAUUUAAAAAUCAUUGUCAAUAAGUAAAAUAGUGUAACUGGAUGUUUGUAACACCAAAGAUACAUGCUUGAGGGGAUGGACACCCCAUUCUCCAUGUGAUUAUUACACAUUGCAUGCCUGUGUCAAAUCAUCUCAUGUACCCCAUAAAUAUAUACAUCUAUGUACCCAGAAAAAUAACAAAUAAAAAGUUAAAAACCCUU
rnacentral:lncRNA from 1 species